ACGUUCUGGUGGGUGGGUCUUAUCGCUCCCUCAGGUAAGAUGAGUCAGCCAUCUUGAAUUUGCCUUGAUGCGGAGAAAUCUUGGCCAGCCUGUGAGUAUGUGGAAGACGGUUUAAUUUAUUUUGAUUGGUUUGAAAUGCGCAUUUUUACUUCCCGCUUCAAACCAUCAGGGAAAUAGUCUUAUUUCCCUCGUUUUUUUAAAGCGCCGUCUUAUCAUCAACCAUGAUUUGUCAGCAGAUGGUCCAGACCUCACUGACACUCCGGUGGCUCUUCUGACAGUCAUCACAGAUGACACUACUGAUGCAGCCCUGUUCAGCCCUGAGAGCAUCUAUAUUUUCAUGGAGGAUGAAAUACUUGUGAGUGGUCCCACAAAUCUGGCUGAUUCAUUUCUCCUGCUCUUUGGGUAAAUCUAUGCGCUAGACCUACAGUACCCAAAGAAUCUUGAGCUUACAUUCACAUUUAUCCAAAAAGUUGUGAUGUGUCUUGAGGACAACAAACCACUUAAAAGGCGUCUCCUGACGCUGAAGAAUGAUUUGUUCAAUGAGUGAAUCACUCAGAAUGGACUAUUUGUUGAAGUGAGUUUUGAGGAAGUUUUUGUUUUUUUUCCCUUCUACUUCAGAUUACAUACAUUGAUUGUUAAUAGAUAAAUAUAACAACAUUGCUCAAAGUUUAUGUACUGAAUAACUUGUAUGAAACGACUGUUAAAUUCAUGCACUAUACAUGUUUAAUUUUCUGUUGCCUAAUGCCUACACUACCUGAUGUUGCCAGUUGAAGUACAGAACAGUAUAAACAAGUACUUUUUGAAUGUUUUUAUUUUAUUUUUUUAAGUUGCAGUAAGUUGCAAUGUUGGCACUUGAAACUUGUAUUUCAAGUGCCAACAUGUUUUUAAACUUUGUUAAAUGGCUACACAUUCUAAUAGUUGUCGUUGAGGAUGGAUUGUACUUAUAAUAUUGAAUUUUAUCAUGAAUUCUUUGAGUUUUUAUCAUAAGGUGCUGGAGUCAUCUCCUUUUCUGUUCUAAUUUAUGACAAGCACUUCGUUUUGACUGAGCUACUUUGAUUCAUGCCUUUUAAAAAGCACAUUGUAUUAAAAAAAAAAAAACUUGUUAAAUUG